UGAGCAAUCUGCCCUUCUCAUCGGAAUAAGCGUUGGAAACGACGUCUAAUGCCGAAUACGACCUCCUUUCGCAUGAUCGGAGGUGGAAAGCUCCGGCGGAGAAGGACGAGCUCGCGGCCUAUCAGCUAGUUGGUGUGGGUAAUGGCCCACCAAGGCGACGACGGGUAGCCGGCCUGAGAGGGUGAUCGGCCACACUGGGACUGAGACACGGCCCAGACUCCGUACGGGAGCAG
rnacentral:rRNA from 1 species